GACGUAUAGGGUGUGAUGCCUGCCCGGUGCUGGAAGGUUAAUUGAUGGGGUUAGCGUAAGCGAAGCUCUUGAUCGAAGCCCCAGUAAACGGCGGCCGUAACUAUAACGGUCCUAAGGUAGCGAAAUUCCUUGUCGGGUAAGUUCCGACCUGCACGAAUGGCAUAAUGAUGGCGGCGCUGUCUCCAGCAGAGGCUCAGUGAAAUCGAAAUCGCUGUGAAGAUGCAGUGUACCCGCGGCUAGACGGAAAGACCCCGUGAACCUUUACUGCAGCUUGACACUGAACUUUGACCUUACUUGUGUAGGAUAGGUGGGAGGCUUUGAAGCUGGAACGCUAGUUCCAGUGGAGCCGUCCUUGAAAUACCACCCUGGUAAUGUUGAGGUUCUAACUCUGUCCCGUGAUCCGGGACGAGGACCGUGUCUGGUGGGUAGUUUGACUGGGGCGGUCUCCUCCUAAAGAGUAACGGAGGAGUACGAAGGUGCGCUCAGCGUGGUCGGAAAUCACGCGUAGAGUAUAAAGGCAAAAGCGCGCUUAACUGCGAGACCCACAAGUCGAGCAGGUACGAAAGUAGGUCUUAGUGAUCCGGUGGUUCUGUAUGGAAGGGCCAUCGCUCAACGGAUAAAAGGUACUCUGGGGAUAACAGGCUGAUACCGCCCAAGAGUUCAUAUCGACGGCGGUGUUUGGCACCUCGAUGUCGGCUCAUCUCAUCCUGGGGCUGAAGCAGGUCCCAAGGGUAUGGCUGUUCGCCAUUUAAAGAGGUACGCGAGCUGGGUUUAGAACGUCGUGAGACAGUUCGGUCCCUAUCUACCGUGGGCGCUGGAAAUUUGAGAGGAUCUGCUCCUAGUACGAGAGGACCAGAGUGGACGAACCUCUGGUGUACCGGUUGUGACGCCAGUCGCAUCGCCGGGUAGCUAUGUUCGGAAGGGAUAACCGCUGAAAGCAUCUAAGCGGGAAGCCUACCUCAAGAUAAGAUUUCCCUAGGACUUUAUGUCCUCUAAAGAGCCGUUCGAGACUAGGACGUUGAUAGGUUGGAUGUGGAAGCAUAGUGAUAUGUGAAGCUGACCAAUACUAAUUGCUCGUGAGGCUUGACUAU
rnacentral:rRNA from 1 species